AUGGAUAAAGGAGCUAUUGUUUCCCUUCAAUACCCUAUGCUCACACAGAGCAACUACUUGGCAUGGUCAAUCAAGAUGAAGGUGUCCAUGUGUGCCCAAAGGGUUUGGGAUUCUGUCGAGCCAAAAGAUCCUAAAGUGCCCACGGAUGAGAAGGGUCAAAUGGCAUUGGCAGCCAUUACCAAGGGAUACAAGGGGCAUGCUCUUCCUGGUGGCCAAAAAGGAGACAACCAAGGCGAUUUGGGAGGCCAUGAAGAUACUGCACAUCUGAGCACGUGGACUCUCAAGACAGAAUUUGAGUGGUUGCGCGUGAAGGAGUCGGAGUCGGUUAACGAUUUUGCUGCCCAGUUGAUGACCAUCAUCAACAAGAUCAGGGCACUCAGCGAGAAGUUCAAGGAGACUUCUGCAAUCAAGAAGUUCCUUCGCGCCAUCACCAACAAGUUUCUCCAAAUUACUUCGACUAUUGGACGAUUUGGUGACCUUAAAACCAUGACGGUGGAAGAGAUUAUUGGACGAUUGAAGGCACAUGAGGAGUGUCUAGGAGAAAUCGGUGAUGCUCGCGAGGAGCACUUGCUGCUGACCCGCACUGAGCGGGAGUCCAUGUUCAACAGGAAUGAAGGAGGCCAAAGCUCAGGCAAGAAAAACCGCAAGUUCAAUGAGGCAAAGGUUCGUUCCUACAAUUCUGAUGACUAUGGGUUGUACUAUUUUUAUUUGAAUUAUUGUUGCAUUAGAGUAUUUAUCUUUCCAUUGCUUAAGAUUGUGCUAUUUAUCUUUAAUUGUUUUGAGUAG
rnacentral:rRNA from 1 species